UGGUGUCUUGACAAUUCCUUACGGGAA
rnacentral:piRNA from 1 species